UUGCCCAGGCUAGUCGAACUCCUGGGCUCAAGUCAUCUGCCCACCUCUGCCUUCCAAGGUGCUGGGAUUACAGGCAUGAGGCACUGCGCCAGCCUUCAACCAUGUUUUCAUUUCUUUAUUUUUGAGACAUGGUCUCCAUCUGUUGCCCAGGCUAGAGUGCAGUGAUGCAAUCAUGGCUCACUGCAGCCUCUACCUUCUGGGCACAAUUGAUCCUCCGAAUGAAUGACCUUUGGGUCACAGGUCCACCGGCGACUCACCAGGGGUUUGUGCCCCUUCCUUCUUUCCUUCUCAGUGGAGUUUGAAGCACUUACGGGUGUCAAGGAAGCAAGUCUUAUCGCCCCUUUCCACCUUCUAUGAGUUUUCUUUGGCCAUAUUAGUUGUUAGGCCAUAGAAUAUAAAUGCUAAGAGUGUGGGCUCUAGACAGCCCAGAUUCAAAUCCCUGCUCUGCCUCUUACUAGAUGUGCAACCUCAGGCAAACUUCGUAAACUCCCUGUGCCUCAGUAUCUCCAUCUAUGCAAUGGAGAUAAUGCAAGCCCUAGCUUCAUAAAACCGUUGUGCAGAUUAAAAGAU
rnacentral:lncRNA from 1 species